GUGGCACGUCCACCUCAGUACAGAGAUGUACAGCCUCCAUAUUCCACCUCUGAGCUCCUGACGAUGGUAACUGAAGAGGAGCAAAUUCUAACCACCUUAAAUACAUGGGAAACAAGUCAAAGUCUCUCAAAUAAGCCCAGAUUCUACUCAGCAUCUAGCCUGAGGAACUAUUUUUACUUGAAAUGAUAGGCUAUCCAGGAUGUGCUUCAAAAUAAUAUGGGAAUGUGGAGAAUGUAGAGGGAACAACUUAAAAUCUACUGAAACUGGAUCCCUUUUGAGAUAUGCCGUGAUGGAAGGCAUCAUGCAAAGUCUUGGAGAAAUAGAAGCUUUGGUGUAAGACAUAUCUGAAGUUGAAGCCAUGUUCUGCCACUUAUUAGCUCUAAGCCUUUGUUUCUUCAUAUAUAAAAUGACAAUUACAAUAACCCUUCUAUGUUACAGCAAGGUUUACACAAUAUGGUAUGUAAAGUGCCCAAAUGUGCAAGAUGCUCAAAUGUUACUUCCACUGCCAUUAGUUACACUCCAAUUCUACCCAGUCUAUACCAGGAGACAACUGAUUGUUCUUCCUGAGUUUUAAGAAAAUAGGUUUAAAAAAACAUAUUUAGUCAUAUAUAUAUACUCAGAGGCUGAAUCUAAUGAAAUUUUUCAUCAAAAAAUGUAGGGCAAGGGAAGCACUUUAAUGUUCUGUCAUUGUCAUUUUACACUGUAUGUGCCAUGGUUGUGAGAAAGCUUGCAGGACUUCACCACUUUAAUUUUUUAUAUAAGCCCACUAUUCUGUCCACCUUCUUUAUGAAUAAUGUGAAAGUAACCAAGACCCCACCAGCCCAUCAGU